UAUUACUGUUAUCGAAUAAAUUGCGCUUGUAGAACUGUGGUAUAAAAGCAAUAUCACACUCGAGGUCGUGCUGUUAUACUCGUACCUACGACCGAAUAACAGCCGUGCUGAUAUUCAGCACUCCCUCUCGUGUGAUAUUGCUUUUAACGGACGUACGUUCGUCACAUUAUCUAGCUACAUAAGGGAGGCCUAUAACUAAAAAGUCAAAGACGGUCCAAAUCUUUGAGUCAUCUAACAACACCAUGAAUGAAGAUGGAAUGGAUGACACGUAUCCAGGCAUGGAUCAUAUAUCAACCGCAGUAUUAAAAGCUGCUAAUAUAAGCACAGACGUGCUACCCAGCCUCUCUAAGGAGGAUUUACGUGAUCUCUUUCCCGGGCCAGAGCACUUCUUCAGAAGGAGAACCAUUUGGAGAUUUACUCAUGGUGAAAAUUAGGGUGAAGAAUCAGACCUGUGUAGACCAGGCACCUCCUCUGGGACCUGUGAUUUCAGCCCCACUCCCACCCCCCUUCUUCCACCCUCCUGUCCCCUCCAUCCCCCCACCCCUCUUCAAACCCAAGAGACCAACAUGGUGCCACCAGAACCGUACAGCUUGUCAGCCCACAGUAUGUCUUAUACACAAACACAGAGUUGGAGCAAUCAAGAAGCACCUUUUUUGAAAAACAGCGUGUUGGACAAGGAGACUAUAUCCUUUCCAAAGAUCUUCACUGUCGAUUAAUCAGGAAUACAGUAACAAGCAUGAUUUCCAUGAAGAGAGCAGCAGGGGAUGACUUCCAGUAUCCAUACAGCCGUGAACUCACUGUAAUGGCGAAGCGUCUCAUAGAGUACUACCCAAUGCUGCGGGACAGAUUUACAACUAGUGGAGCUGAGUGGGUAAGUCACUACUCAGGUAUUCAACACAUUUCCAAACGCAGCACUGUUGGAACCUGGCAGCCAAAGUGUAAACUCCCGACGAACAGGCAGGGGCGUGGGAGCCUGGCAAGCUGGCUGAGGCAUGAACGCCUGUCGAUCCCGCUGCGACGUGGAAGCCCGAUGAUCCGACGGAGACAUGACAGUCUGACGAGCCGGCUGGGUGAACAAUCCGGCUGAGGUCCAACUUGGGAUGGGCGCUUUUCGAGCCAACCGGGGAAAGGAAACCUCUCGAGCCAGCUAGGCGUGGAUGCCCGACGAGCUGGCUAGGCACGCCCAGUUCCAUUGGCGGCAACCCAGAACCGACGUCACCUCCAACUGGAAUGCCACUACUCCCUGAUGCUUCGUGUGACGGCUUCAGGAUUCUGUAAGGACCGACACCGGACAGGAGAAACAGGUACGGGGAGUCAAACAUUUAUUCAGGAAUGGGCAAAGAACAUGACAGGAACAGCAUCAGCACACGGGUAAAGAAGGACAUAUGACAAACAAUCCCGAAGCAGGGGUCAGAGCUAGGAAACUACACAAGUAAUUGAGUCCACGUGAGUCCAAUGAGCUCUGAUGCGCGUUACGGGGAAAGGCAGUGGUGUGUACUGAAAGUGGCUUGAGUGCGUAAUGUUGGGGAGUCUUGUACUCUCGAGCGCAAGAGGGAGGAAGAGCGGGAGCAGGCGUGACAGUCAGAGCCAGUGUAGUUGGAUUCAAUCUUAGUCCUGUAUUGACAUUUUGGCUGUUUGAUGGUUUGUCUGCGGGAAUAGUGGGAUUUCUUAGAAGUGUUGCUUGUAAUCCAUGGCUUCUGGUUGGCAUAUGUACCUACGUCUACCGUGGGGAUGACGUCGUCGAUGCACUUAUUGAUAAAGCUGGUGACUGAUGUGGUAUACUCCUUAAUGCCAUUCGAUGAAUCCUGGAACAUAUUCCAGUCUGUGCAAUCAAAAUAGUCCUGUAGCUUAGUAUCAGUGUCAAAAGACCACUUCCGUAUUGAGCGAGUCACUGGUACAUAGAAUUAUGUUCAGAUUUGUCAAAUGGAGGGCGAGGGAGAGCUUUGUACUUGUCUCUGUGUGUGGAGUAAAGGUGGUCUAGAGUUAUUUUUCCCCCUGGUUGCAUGUGACAUGAUGGUAGAAUUUAGGUAAAACGGAUUUACAUUUUCCUGCAUUAACGUCCCUGGACACUAGGAGCGGCACUUCUGGGUGAGCAUUCUCUUGUUUAUUUAUGGCCUUACACAGCUCGUUGAGUGAGGUCUUUGUGCCUGUAUCAUUUGUGGAGGUAAAUAGACAGCUAUGAGAAAUAUAGAUGAAAGCUCUCUUGGUAAAUCGUGUGGUCUACAACUUCUCAUGAGGUACUGUAUCUCAGGCAAGAUUGCGCAUCAGCUGAUAAUGACAAAUAGACACAGACCGCCAACCCUUGUAUUCCCGGAGGUUGCAGUUCUGUCUUGCCGAUGCACGGAAAAGCCAGCCAACUGUAUGUUAUCCAUGUCCUCGUUCAGCCACAACUCAGUGAAACAUAAGAUAUUACAGUUUUUAAUGUUAGGAUAGUCUCGAACCGAGGUCAUCAAGUUUAUUCUACAGUGAUUGCACCUUCGCCAGUAGGGCAAAUGGUAAAGGUGUCACCCCUGCCUGUUCGGGUGGUGCUCGGUGGUCGUCGUCGUCGCCGGUCUACUAGCCGCCACCGAUUCCUUUUUCCUUUUCUGUUAGUUUAGCCUUAUUAGUUGCACCUGUUCCUUUUUGUGUUGCUUGAUUUUUGUCUAUUUAAGCCUGUUAUGCCCGUUUAGGUUUGUGCAGGAUUAUUUUGUUCUGUCGGUUGUGGAUGUGUUCUCGUUGUUGUUUUCUCCGGACUGUUUGUCCUGUGUUUGGGCUGGUCAGUGUUAUACGCCCUGUAAUUUGGCGAGACCGUUUUGUGCCG
ensembl:lncRNA